AUGGGACACCCCAGGAACCCCCAAAUCCCCCAAAUCCCACCCCAAAACCCUCGUGGGACACCCCAGGAACCCCCAAAUCCCCCAAAUCCCACCCAAAACCCUCGUGGGACACCCCAAAUCCCCCAAAUUCCACCCAAAACCCUCGUGGGACAUCCCAAAUCCCCCAAAUCCCCCAAAUUCCACCCAAAAUCCUCAUGGGCCACCCCAAGGACCCCCAAAUCCCCCAAAUUCCACCCCAAAACCCUCGUGGGACACCCCAAGAACCCCCAAAUCCCCCAAAUUCCACCCAAAAUCCUCGUGGGACACCCCAAGGACCCUCAAAUCCCCAAAAUCUCACCCAAAAUCCUCGUGGGACACCCCAGGAACCCCCAAAUCCCCCAAAUUGCACCCAAAAUCCUCGUGGGACACCCCAAGAACCCCCAAAUCCCCCAAAUUUCUCCCAAAACCCUCGUGGGACACCCCAGGAACCCCCAAAUCCCCCAAAUUGCACCCAAAACCCUCGUGGGACACCUCAAAUCCCCCAAAUCCCCCAAAUUCCACCCAAAACCCUCGUGGGACACCCCAAGGACCCCCAAAUCCCCCAAAUUCCACCCAAAACCCUCGUGGGACACCCCAGGAACCCCCAAAUCCCCCAAAUUCCACCCAAAACCUUCGUGGGACACCCCAGGAACCCCAAAUCCCCCAAAUCCCACCCAAAACCCUCUUGGGACACCCCAAAUCCCCCAAUUCCACCGAAAACCCCACAUGAGACACCCCAAGAGCCCCCAAAUCCCCCAAAUUCCACCCAAAAUCCUCGUGGGACACCCCAGGAACCCCCAAAUCCCCCAAAUUGCACCCAAAACCCUCGUGGGACACCCCAAGGACCCUCAAAUCCCCGAAAUUCCACCCAAAACCCUCGUGGGACACCCCAAGGACCCUCAAAUCCCCGAAAUUCCACCCAAAACCUUCGUGGGACACCCCAGGAACCCCCAAAUCCCCCAAAUCCCACCCAAAAUCCUCGUGGGACACCCCAAGAACCCCCAAAUCCCCCAAAUCCCACCCAAAAUCCUCGUGGGACACCCCAAGGACCCCCAAAUCCCCCAAAUUCCACCCAAAAUCCUCGUGGGACACCCCAAAUCCCCCAAAUUCCACCCAAAACCCUCGUGGGACACCCCAAAUCCCCCAAUUCCACUGAAAACCCCACAUGAGACACCCCAAGAACCCCCAAAACCCCCAAAUUCCGCCCCAAACCCUCAUGGGACACCCCAGGAACCCCCAAAUCCCCCAAAUUCCACCCAAAACCUUCGUGGGAAAACCCAGGACCCCCAAAUCCCCCAAAUUCCACCCCAAACCCUCGUGGGACACCCCAAAUCCCCCAAAUUCCACCGAAAACCCCACAUGAGACACCCCAAGAACCCCCAAAACCCCCAAAUUCCGCCCCAAACCCUCAUGGGACACCCCAGGAACCCCCAAAUCCCCCAAAUUGCACCCAAAACCCUCGUGGGACACCCCAAAUCCCCCAAAUUCCACCCAAAACCCUCAUGGGACACCCCAAGGACCCCCAAAUCCCCCAAAUUCCACCCAAAACCCUCGUGGGACACCCCAAAUCCCCCAAAUUCCACCCAAAAUCCUCGUGGGACACCCCAAGGACCCCCAAAUCCCCCAAAUUCCACCCCAAACCCUCAUGGGACACCCCAAGAGCCCCCAAAUCCCCCAAAUUCCACCCAAAACCCUCAUGGGACACCCCAAAUCCCCCAAAUUCCACCCCAAACCCUCAUGGGACACCCCAAGGACCCCCAAAUCCCGCCCCAAACCCUCGUCACCCCCCCCAGGGCCCCCCGAGGGUCCGGCGGCGGCUCCGGCAGGGUGGCACCGUCGCGCGCGGUGGCACCGCGGUGGCACCGGGCCGGGGACUCGGUCCGAGGGUGCCGGAGCGUCAGCCGCCCGCAGGCCCUGGGCCCCUGGCACCGCCUGUGCGCCCCGAGCGGGACGGUGACAGCAGGCGGACAGCCCUCGUGGGGUGGGAAUGGGAAUGGGAAUGGGGAUGGGAAUGGGGACUGGGAAUGGGGACUGGGAAUGGGAAUGGGAAUGGGAAUGGGGAAUGGGAAUGGGAAUGGGGAAUGGGGAUGGGAAUGGGGACUGGGAAUGGGACUGGGAAUGGGGAAUGGGAAUGGGAAUGGGGACUGGGAAUGGGGACUGGGAAUGGGGAUGGGAAUGGGGAAUGGGGAAUGGGGAAUGGGAAUGGGGAAUGGGAAUGGGGAUGGGGACUGGGAAUGGGGAAUGGGAAUGGGGAAUGGGGAAUGGGGAAUGGGGACUGGGGAUGGGAAUGGGAAUGGGGAAUGGGAGUGGGGAAUGGGGACUGGGAAUGGGAAUGGGGACAGGGAAUGGGAAUGGGGAAUGGGGAAUGGGGAAUGGGGACUGGGGGUGGGAAUGGGAAUGGGAAUGGGGAAUGGGAGUGGGGAAUGGGGACUGGGAAUGGGAAUGGGGACAGGGAAUGGGGACUGGGAAUGGGAAUGGGGACUGAGAAUGGGGACUGGGACUGGAGACUGGGAAUGGGGACAGGGAAUGGGGACAGGGACUGGGAAUGGGGACGGGGAAUGGGGACUGGGAAUGGGGACUGGGAAUGGGAAUGGGGACAGGGACAGGGAACUGGGAAUGGGGACUGGGAACGGGGACAGGGACUGGGAAUGGGGACGGGGAAUGGGGAUGGGGAAUGGGGACUGGGAAUGGGAAUGGGGACAGGGAAUGGGGACUGGGACAGGGAACUGGGAAUGGGAAUGGGGACAGGGACAGGGGACUGGGAAUGGGGACUGGGAACGGGGACAGGGACUGGGAAUGGGGACGGGGAAUGGGGAUGGGGAAUGGGGACUGGGAAUGGGAAUGGGGACAGGGAAUGGGGACUGA
rnacentral:lncRNA from 1 species